rnacentral:rRNA from 1 species
GACGAACGCUGGCGGCGUGCUUAACACAUGCAAGUCGAGCGGUAAGGCCCUUUCGGGGGUACGACGAGCGGCGAACGGGUGAGUAACACGUGGGUGACCUGCCUUUAGCUCUGGGAUAAGCCUGGGAAACCGGGUCUAAUACCGGAUAUGACUCCGCGGCGCAUGUUGUGGGGUGGAAAGCCUUGUGCGGCUGGAGAUGGGCCCGCGGCCUAUCAGCUUGUUGGUGGGGUGAUGGCCUACCAAGGCGACGACGGGUAGCCGGCCUGAGAGGGCGACCGGCCACACU